rnacentral:rRNA from 1 species
UACGUAGGGUGCAAGCGUUGUCCGGAAUUAUUGGGCGUAAAGAGCUCGUAGGCGGUUUGUCGCGUCUGCUGUGAAAACUCGGGGCUUAACCCCGGGCCUGCAGUGGGUACGGGCAGACUAGAGUGCGGUAGGGGAGAAUGGAAUUCCCGGUGUAGCGGUGAAAUGCGCAGAUAUCAGGAGGAACACCGGUGGCGAAGGCGGGUCUCUGGGCCGUAACUGACGCUGAGGAGCGAAAGCAUGGGGAGCGAACAGG